UGUACAUUCUGUGGACUGGCAAGAAAACACAUCUUAAGUCUGAGUGAUGUGCUUAUGUGUAUAUAUGUGUCUACACAUCUUCAAAUAGCAGAAACAAAACCAUCUUGGGCCUUUAGUUUGAAGCACUCUACUUUCCAGGUGAUUCUGCUUCUGCUUUACUGCGCCAGCUCCUCAGGGAACCUCAGUGUAGUGAGGAAUAAUACAGACUUCCCUCAGAAAGGACGAUGAAGGGGAGCAGAACAUACCACUCCAAAAUAUGCCUGUUUGGCAUAAAGAUUAUUUUGUACGGAUUAUUUUUAAGAAACACACACCGGAAACGCUCUGAAAAUCUAGUAGAAGUUACUCAUUUGUAGAGAAAAUUUACAUUUAUAAGAGAAGAUUUUAUUUAUAAAUGUGUUUCCUAAUCUGUACCAGGAAGAGAAGGAUGAUUCAAUCAUAAACUCUUAUCAGUGGAGAAGAUGCCCACCUUAAAUCUGCAUAACCACCUUACCCCGUUUACUCUGCUUUUCCUGGUAGCCCCCUUACCUGGCCUUCCCUUCUGCCCCCAUCUUUCUUUUGUCUUUAGCUGAGGAGGUAUUUAAGCUAUUUGGGGGAGUUACUCAGUUUUCCUGGGUCUCAUGUAUACAGGAGAUAUACAUGCUAUUAAACUUUGUUUUUUCUCUUGUUACUCUGUCUUUUAUUACAGGGACCAAGAUCCUAGAAUGGUACCGGGAGCAUUUUUUUCCUUUGUGACAGUUUGGAACCUGCUGAAAUACCAUACUUGCCCUGGAGCCUGGGGACAGGAACCUGGAAGGCUGGCAGAAGCUGGCAAAGGCUUCCAGACUGGGCCUCAGGAGUGAUGGUGAGGAGGAGGAAGGCUCUUCUGACGGGGCCACUGCCCUCGGGAAUGCUGGACGCUGGUGCAGAAGCGAACAAACACUACGGAGCACCUGCCCUGUGCCACACUUUACACGUGUGCAACACAGACCCGGCUGAUGGAGCUCACCCGGCCAGUGCUGUGGGGACUCGGCUGAGGGCACCGAAUGCCUGACUGAGAUCGCUGGCCGCCAACAUCCACCAUCCUGUUCAACAGAAACAUACGACUCUUUGGGGAAAAAGGACAUGGAAAUCAGCACUCUUUAGACAAUGAAGAACCACUGGAUGUGUCCUGGCAAAGGAGGUACAGAAUGACUUGAGAUGUACCACAACUCUAAAUGCCCUAUGAUGGAGAGGGCCAGUAAUGCCCUAAGAGAUACAACCCAUCUUAGCAAUAACACAUUUAGGAAUCCAUCUGGGGACUUACAAGCCUGGACGGACAGAUUCUAAUGGAUCAUGCUGGGAGACAGUCUUACCGAAAGAUGAUGUUUUCCAAGUCAAACGGAUACUCAAUGAUGCCGGUUGUGGGCACUCGGACACGAAGCACGUCCUGCUGCGUUGGCACGAAUGACGGCAUGGCGAUCCGGUCAAUGUCAGUCAGGUUCCAUCAGUGACUUUCGUGAGAGCCAGCACUCCAGCCCUCCUACGACCAUUGUGGAGAGAACACAGGUCAGAAGCUUUGGUGAGCCUUCCAGGAAACCUGCGGAUCUCGUCCUCUCUUCUUCCUGGUCCUGAGCUCCAUGAGUCUCCGGCUGGUGAGGGAGCCAGCGGGGCCAGGAGGAGGAGGAGGGUGGAAUGGGCUCUCUGACAUCUCAUCUGUCCUCUUCCUCCCACAAGCCCUCAUCCAAGAACAUGAUAGGAUGUAGGUGCUGUUCUUGAACACUGUUUUCAGUGAAUUAGAAUUUUGAAGAAAAUAUAAAGGCAUGAAACAGGCCAAUGGGAAGUCCUCUCAAAAUAAGAAAAAAGUUUGUUACACUGGAGGAUUAAACAUCACCCAGAACUUGUCUUGGAUGAUUGGGGGAUCGAUCACUGCAAUGGUUCUUUAAUUUCUUUUUUUUUUCCUGCAGGUUCUACUAAUAGGUAGGGUAUAUGGAACACAAACAGAAGCAUGUUCUAUGAUACUUCUGAGAAGCUCAAUUAAUUGGUACUCAUUUUUUUUUAUCUUUUUACAGUUCUUUUUUUCAUUUUUUAAAAUUGAACUAUGGUUGGUCUACAAUAUUGUCUUAAAACAUAUAUCACUGUUUUCUGUAGUAAAACAAGAGGACACCUUUUUAAAGGCCUUUUAAGAAGGCACUUCUGAGUGAAUAAUCAUGUAACUCAGGCCUUGGUCAAUGAUGGUGUGGUGACUUGGAGACCCUGCACUCUUGAGGCUGGCCCUGCCUUCUCCACACACAAGCAGAGCUCACCGAGGUCUGCUGGGGCCAAACAGGUGACGUGAAGGGGAGCCAAGAGGUAACAGGCAAACCCUGUUCAGCUGUAGCCCUCAGCCUAGGAAGCAGACUGCGGGGGCAGCCUCCUGUGCCCACACCACCAUCCACCCCCAGGGCUUAUUACCCGUGAACUCCGCCUGUGAUGCUUUGAUUUAUUCUGGCCUCUUUCCACCAGACUAUGUUCCUUCAGGGCAGAGAGCACUGGCUGUAUCUGCAGCCCUGACCCCAGUGCCUACACAUAGCAGGCACGUGCUCAAUUUUUGUGAAAUGACUUCCUGUCCAGAUAAGCAGCCAGCAACCGCUGACCUGGCCCAAGGAAGUGCCCACGUGCCUGGGGGCCUCCCCAGGGGCAAAGGCAGGGCACCGUCUGGGUUUGUGACCAUCGUUUUCUCUGCUGCAGCUCUGUCCACCACCCUGGUCUCUCCAACAUUCUUCUCAGUGGACUUGCCCCAGUUUUCAGAGAUCAAAAUCUACAGCAGGUCCAGUGGGUCUUUUCCAGGUGGACCUACAGGAGGAGCCCCAGCCACUCCCCAGGGCCUUUACAGCAGCAAAUGACUGGGCUUUCCUGGGUGAGGGCCAGGAAGGCCUUGGCUGACUUGAACCUGGGCCCAGCUCCCCAGCUGUCAAAGGCAGUCUGCCCUCCUCCUUGGGACACUAUCUCCCUUCCGGCCAGCUGUCUUCUGUGCUAAUCCAACACCUCGUGGGGGCUUCUUUUAUUUCCUUUUCCCACUUUGCUGCUCUGUUGCACCUAAAUGUUCCUGUACUCAGAACCUAAAUUAAUGUCAUUAAACACUCAGCCUGGGACAAAUGCCAAAGAGAGGACAGUGACACUGAGGAGGUAAGAUUCUGGUUUCAAUCCCACCCCUGCCUUGUCCAGGUGAUGGGUGAGUUACCCACCCACACUGGCUCAGAGGUCAAUCCCAGCACCUGAAGGGAAGAGGACGCGUCUGGGGAAGGGGUGCCAGAGUCCCCAGAGGAUAGAAAUGACACACAGCAAGGAGGAAGGAGCUGAGCUGCGGAAGCAGGAAUCCUCACCUCUUAAAGAAGGACCGUGAUCCAACUAUUUGCCCGGUGACCUGGCCAGCAGAGGCAUUGCUUUGGGAAAUUCUUAAAAUCAGAUUCUGUGAUCUCUAUGGGAUAGUCUGCACGCAGAACCGUCUGUUUCUUUUUACCUUAAUGGAUUCAUGAUUAAAAGAUAGAGCCUUACGGAUCCAGCAUACAGCAGUAGGGCCUCCACAAGGCAUCAUAAACGGGGGCUUCAGGACUGCGCUUUCCGUGGCUGGGCCCGCAGAGCCUCUCUGAGCCGCUAGAGGGCAGCACCACAUCAGCUGCUGACUGGUGUGUGGCACUUUUGGUCUAAACUCUGAUUUUAGGGAAAUUCAACCUGCUGUCUAUGCAGCAGGAAAUGAGAAGGCAGAGGGAUGUGGAGAGGGGGAAACAGAAGCAGGUGUAGUUCUUGUUUAAAUCAGGUAAUCCCAGCACCCUGAAUGAGAUCAGCCCCACAAAGGAAGCCCACAUUUCACUUAGCCUCUCAUUGAGAAGGACUGAGGCUUAGAACUUGAUGGGGAAAGGUAGGUUCGGGCCAGGAGAGCUAGCUGAGGCUCCAUGGCAGGAAGGAAAAUUUUAGGAGGUGGGAAGAGAUGCACUAAAAAGUAAGAGGGGAAUAGACACAAGCAGCGUUGCGCUGAGCGCCCGCAUUUCAGCGAACAGCUCCUUUCUCCCUGGUGAGAAGCUUCCUUGAAACAUGGCCCUGCUUCCCUGAAAUGGCCUUGGGAGGCCGGCCGGGGCCGCUGUACUCACUACUUGG